GAUGAACGCUGGCGGCGUGCCUAAUACAUGCAAGUCGAGCGAACGGACGAGAAGCUUGCUUCUCUGAUGUUAGCGGCGGACGGGUGAGUAACACGUGGAUAACCUACCUAUCAGACUGGGAUAACUUCGGGAAACCGGAGCUAAUACCGGAUAAUAUUUUGAACCGCAUGGUUCAAAAGUGAAAGACGGUCUUGCUGUCACUUAUAGAUGGAUCCGCGCUGCAUUAGCUAGUUGGUAAGGUAACGGCUUACCAAGGCAACGAUGCAUAGCCGACCUGAGAGGGUGAUCGGCCACACUGGAACGGAGACACGGACAAGACGCCUAAGGGAGGCAGCAGUAGGGAAUCUGCCGCAAUGGGCGAAAGCCUGACGGAGCAACGCCGAGUGAGUGAUGAAGGUCUUCGGAGCGUAAAACUCUGUUAUUAGGGAAGAACAUAUGUGUAAGUAACUGUGCACAUCUUGACGGUACCUAAUCAGAAAGCCACGGCUAACUACGUG
rnacentral:rRNA from 1 species